rnacentral:rRNA from 1 species
AUACGGAGGGUGCAAGCGUUAAUCGGAAUUACUGGGCGUAAAGCGUGCGCAGGCGGUUUGUUAAGUCAGAUGUGAAAGCCCCGGGCUCAACCUGGGAACUGCAUUUGAAACUGGCAAACUAGAGUGUGAUAGAGGGAAGUGGAAUUCCUCAUGUAGCGGUGAAAUGCGUAGAUAUGAGGAGGAACACCAGUGGCGAAGGCGACUUCCUGGACCAGCACUGACGCUCAUGUACGAAAGCGUGGGUAGCAAACAGUAUUAGAAACCCCUGUAGUCC